rnacentral:rRNA from 1 species
AACGAACGCUGGCGGCAUGCCUAACACAUGCAAGUCGAACGAGACCUUCGGGUCUAGUGGCGCACGGGUGCAUAACGCGUGGGAACCUGCCCUUAGGUUCGGAAUAACUCCCCGAAAGGGGUGCUAAUACCGGAUAAUGUCUUCGGACCAAGGAUUUAUCGCCUUUGGAUGGGCCCGCGUUGGAUUAGCUAGUUGGUAGGGUAAAAGCCUACCAAGGCGACGAUCCAUAGCUGGUCUGAGAGGAUGAUCAGCCACACUGGGACUGAGACACGGCCCAGACUCCUACGGGAGGCAGCAGUGGGGAAUAUUGGACAAUGGGCGAAAGCCUGAUCCAGCAAUGCCGCGUGAGUGAUGAAGGCCUUAGGGUUGUAAAGCUCUUUUACCCGGGAUGAUAAUGACAGUACCGGGAGAAUAAGCUCCGGCUAACUCCGUG